rnacentral:rRNA from 1 species
GAUGAACGCUAGCUACAGGCUUAACACAUGCAAGUCGAGGGGCAGCACAGUGUAGCAAUACACGGGUGGCGACCGGCGCACGGGUGCGUAACGCGUAUCCAACCUUCCCGUUACUCUUGGAUAGCCUUCCGAAAGGGAGAUUAAUACAAGAUGGUAUUCAAAUUCCGCAUGUUAUUUGAAUUAAAGAUUUAUCGGUAACGGAUGGGGAUGCGUGACAUUAGAUAGUAGGCGGGUAACGGCCCACCUAGUCUACGAUGUCUAGGGGUUCUGAGAGGAAGGUCCCCCACACUGGAACUGAGACACGGUCCAGACUCCUACGGGAGGCAGCAGUGAGGAAUAUUGGUCAAUGGUCGGAAGACUGAACCAGCCAAGUAGCGUGAAGGAUGAAAGGUUCUAAUGGGAUUGUAAAACUUCUUUAUACGGGAAUAAAACCACCUACGUGUAGGUGCUUGUAUGUACCGUAUGAAUAAGCAUCGGCUAAACUCCGUGCCAGCAGCC